rnacentral:lncRNA from 1 species
GAAAAAAAGUGUUUUUGAGGAAAAGCAGAAGUGGUUUUAGAGAAGCAGAAAAAAGUAGCUUCUCUCCAAAAGCACUUUUUUGAGAAGCAUUUUUGAGNNNNNNNNNNNNNNNNNNNNNNNNNNNNNNNNNNNNNNNNNNNNNNNNNNNNNNNNNNNNNNNNNNNNNNNNNNNNNNNNNNNNNNNNNNNNNNNNNNNNNNNNNNNNNNNNNNNNNNNNNNNNNNNNNNNNNNNNNNNNNNNNNNNNNNNNNNNNNNNNNNNNNNNNNNNNNNNNNNNNNNNNNNNNNNNNNNNNNNNNNNNNNNNNNNNNNNNNNNNNNNNNNNNNNNNNNNNNNNNNNNNNNNNNNNNNNNNNNNNNNNNNNNNNNNNNNNNNNNNNNNNNNNNNNNNNNNNNNNNNNNNNNNNNNNNNNNNNNNNNNNNNNNNNNNNNNNNNNNNNNNNNNNNNNNNNNNNNNNNNNNNNNNNNNNNNNNNNNNNNNNNNNNNNNNNNNNNNNNNNNNNNNNNNNNNNNNNNNNNNNNNNNNNNNNNNNNNNNNNNNNNNNNNNNNNNNNNNNNNNNNNNNNNNAAAAGUACUUUUAAGAAAAGCACUUUUAAAAAAAAAUACUUCUCAUAAUAAACUGAUUUUUGUAGCUUGACCAAACGGACUACUAGUUUGAUAUGAAUUAUAUAUACUAAUUAAUUUUUUAUACACCCAUUUAUCAAGCAAUAUUAAAUUCUCAAUUUUUUGAAAGACAAAAUCCUCUUACUGUAUAUGAAUUAUAUUAAAUUCUUAAUUCUUUGAUUCAGUUAUAUAAAUAAUUUAUUGCACAAUGUAGUUAGUACAAGAUUAUAGUUGUUUAAAUUUGAUAUAAUUAGUCAUCCACAUAAUUGUGGGAUAUAAUUUCAUUUUUUUAAUUAUAAUUGAAACUUAUAUAGUCAGAUCUUUCUAUAACAACAUAUUUAUACAACAAGCACUUAUUAUAAAAGUUAAAUUUUUCUCAUAAUCGAUUUUUAUGUUAUGUUAUAAUAUAUAUCCAGCAUGCGAGAGGUACGGGGAUCGAUACCUCGCAUCUCCAUUGUUACUACUCCUUCGGGGUAGGAGUAAGGUCUGCUUAUACACUACCGUCCCCAGUGUCACGACCCAAGCCGAUGGGCUGCGAUGGGCACUCGGUUACGUACCGGGUGCCCGUCGCGGCCCAUCGGUAUGGGUCGUGACACUUAGACCCCACUAGUUGGAUUUUACUUGGUGGUUGUUGUUGUUGUUAUAAUAUGUAUCCUCUAUAACGAUGCUUCACUAUAGCAACAAAAAAAUAUCGGAACAAAAGAGGUCAUUAUAGAGAGGUUUGACUGUACGUAAGAUAUACUUUUUAAAAAAAUUAAAUUUUUAAAUAAAAGUUUUACAUUUUAUUUUUAUAAAAUUUAAUAUAGAAGAUAAAUAUUUUUGUUGAAAAUUUUUAUUCACGCAUUUGAUUAAAUAUAAAUUGUUUAAUAAGAUAUGCAACUAUUAGUGAAAACUUUCUUAAAUGUUGAACAAGUAAGUUAUUUGUAUUUUUAGUUAUUAUAAAAUUCAUAUUACAUAUGAAUAACUCAAUUUAGUUUGUUUAUUUAUUGAACGCUGAAAAAUUAUCUUAAAUUUGUUGUAUGCUAUUUUAUUUGUGUAGGAUUUUCAUUAUAUAAGAGGCUUACAUAUUUUUAGAAAAAUAAGAAUAGUAUCAUUAUAGUUAAAGACUUUUGGAAGAUAAACCUAUUUUGCCGAAUAUAUAACAAUUCUAAUUUAUUAUUUAAUAGCUUUAUUUUAAUAAACGUAGUUAUAUAUUUACCUCGUAGAGGGUGUAAGUGUAAGAUUUUUAUAAUAUAGGGGAAGUAAAUUUGAUUUUAAAAUACAACAAAUGUAUCCGAAAAUUGAUUGAUAUUAUAAUGAUUAAACCUAAAAAUUAAAAUAAAUAAUAAAGUUAGUGGUAGAAGUUUCGUUUCUAGAUCUUCUGCUAUAUGUUAGUACAAGAACUAGCAACAAAUUUCAUUUUUUGUCGCAAACCCGCCACUAUUUUACUAUACUUUUUUCAGUUUAAUUUUUAUUCUGUUUAACUUCUAUUUUAAGAUUGAAGAUGUUUUUCAUUUUAAUCUUUCUUAUUUAGAAGUUAAUUAAUUCUUCAAGUUAUAUACAUUGUUGUUUUUCCAAAUUUCUAUAUGAAAUUAUUUUUUCAUAACCGCAUAUAUUUUUUAGACUAACUCUUGUCAUGACUUUCAUAGUCGAAGUAAAAGAAUUCUUCGACAAAAAUUUUUACAGCUAAUUUAUUAUAGUUAACAUAUUAUUAGUGCAAUGAUACAUCAAUUGUAUGACAAUAUAUAUAGUUAUGGUCAAUUAUGAAAGGUAACUGUCUACUAUUCAUUUUGUCAUGACAAAUAAUUGGAACAAUUAAGCUAACUAUUUGUACGUUUUUUUUAACUUGAAGCAAAAAUAUCAAUUGACUACAAGAUUGUAUCUUAACUAAUUUAAUGUGUCUAAAAUGUUAUUAUUGCUACAAGAAGCUUUGAGUCAUUGCAAAAAUUUAUGAUUAGCUAUAAAAUUUUACCACAAUAAUAAAUAUGUGGCUAUAUCAUUUAUGAAAAAUAAUUGUAGUUAUUGAGCCGACUAUUGCCAAGAUUUAUUUUAAAAUUGAAGCAAAAUUGUUUUUCUCAACUGCAACAUUUUAAUUUAAAUAAUUUAUUGCGACUAAAAAAUUUAUUUUGCUAUAGUAAGUUUUAGUCUGUGGCAAAAACUAUUGAUUAGCUAUGAAAGUUUAUCAUAUCAAAACAUUUGUGGAUAUAUUAUUUUGUCAUGACAAUUAAUCGUAGCUAUUAAGCCAACUAUUGCCACAAUAUUUUAUAACUUGAAGCAAAAAUAUUUAUUUAGCUACAACAAUUUGUUUCAAAAAAUUUAUCAUGGCUAAAAGUAUACUAUUGCUGCGGUAACUCUUAACCCGUGGCAAAAAUUUAUGAUUAGCUAUGAAAUUUUACUGUAGCAAUAAGUUUGUAGCUGUUUAGGUAGUUAUUGCCGCAAAAAUUAGUAAUUAUAGCAAAAAUAAUGAAUUAGCUUUGUAAAUUUAGUUUUGUGGCUAAGAGAUUUUAACAAUUUGUAGAUAGCCACGAAAUUCUAUUUUUUGUGGCUAUUAGUGAGUAAUAGCUACGAAAUUUAGAUUUGUAGCUUAGAUUUCGUAGCUACAGAUAUAUUUUGUUGUAGUGAAGGUUCGUAGGUAGUCGAGCGUUUCUCCUUGUCUUACUCAAUUCUCUAGCAUUAGUGUUAGUUUGUGUAACACCCUAGGAAAAAAAUUGACUUACUUAAGCACUAGUAAGAAAGUUGUUGUGUGCUAAUUAAAUUAUUUUGUGUGCGGACGAGGAUUAUUGAUAUGAUGAAUAUCAAUUGGAUAUGAUAAUACGUGUGCAAGACAUAUUAUGAGUGAUGUUGGUUCUAAGGAGAGCCCUCCGUCUAAGUCAAGUUGGAAAAUUACAUGAUAGACUACAGUUCCAAAUGAGUACGCACAAGACCAAACUUUGGAUGAGUAUAUCUACUUAUAUAUAAAGAAUUAUGUGAUGAACUAUCAAUAAAAGAUCUUCGAGUCUAGUUUCUAACGCUUCAAACCGUUCAUCAUUUGGACACUCCUACUAGAAGUUAUGACCAAAUUACCAAAGGCUAAAAGAAUGUGAUUCUGCGGUCAGAUGUGCGAUAACAAAAACAUUAUGCAAACCGCAAAAGUGGUCUGUGGACCGCAAAAUGGUCGCAGCCCAGUUCUGGGCACCAGUUUUGCGGUCCAUUGUGUGACCCGCAUACCCAUUGUGUGGUCCAUUGUGCGACCGCAGACCUGAGUUCGGAGGGUCCAUUUUUUUAUUUUCAUAACCCAAUCCCAUUUUGAUAAAUAGGCUUUAAGGAUUAUUUUGGGGCAAUUAUUUGAUGAUUUUAGAGAGAGGUAAGAGUAUUUUAGAGAGAGAAGGAGGAAACCUAACAUUCUAAUCAUCCAAUCUUGCACCAAUCUUCAAGAAUCAAGGAAGCCAAUCACAAGAUCUUCAUCUAAGAGGUAAGGUUCCAUACCCUAGCUCUUAAUUUUGAAUUUUAACUAAAGAUGGGUAAUUAACAAGAUAAUUCUUGGGUGUGUGAGUUGUUUAUUUUGCAUGCAUGGGUUAUCAAAGGGUGUAGAAAGAUUGUUGAGCUAAAAAAAUGGUAAAGAAUGGGUUGUGGGAUGAUGGAAUCCUUCAUAAAGGGACCUUGAAACCUUAAUGCACACCUAGUGUUACGCCCCGCAGUAUUACGUCGAUGUUGUGUUCUGCAGUAAUAUAUUACGAUGAUGUUACCUUCUGCAAUAAUAUAUUACGAUGAUGUUAUGCCUUGCAGUAUUACAUUACGAUGAUGGUACAUUUCGCAGUAUUAAGUUACGACGGUAUUGCACCCAACAAUAUUAUAUUACGGUGAUGUUACGCUUCGCAGUAAUAAGUUACGACAGUGUUGCACCCAACAGUAUUACAUUAUGGUGAUAUCACGCUUCGCAUUAUUAAGUUACGACGAUAUUACACCCUGAAAUAUUAUACGUUGAAUUUGUCAUAAGGUAAUUGACAUAAAUCCAAGUAAAAGAUUAUUUAGAGAUUAUAAAGAUUAUGCUAUUUCACAAGUGAUUAGUAAAGGUGAAAGGGGAAGCAAGUCAAAGAAAAUAAAUUUUUCGUCCAAGUUUGUCAUAUUGGGUAAAAUACGGCCCGAACUAAAAUACCCAGUAUUUAUCGACUAGUGACAUGCAAGGUACUGCAUAUCCAUGCUAGAAAGGUGUAUAAGGUAUGUGAAAAGUGAGUAAUAUUUUAAGUAAGUGAGAAUAAUUCUCAAUUUUUUGGGUAAUUGGUUAAUUAUCGGGUAACGGGAUAUUACCCGAUUAAUUAACAAGUGGAUAAGAUUAAAUCCCUUUCCCCCAACAAAACGUGGCAGAAGGACACUAUUUGAGAAAGUGACUCAUAUGGAUUUAUGGGUAGGUGGCUCGCAAAAACUUAAUUGAAUAUUAAAGAAAGCAAGAGUUAGUAAUGUCUUGUUUCCAUGUUCAUUUGGAAAAAAUCAGAAUGUCCCUUAAAUUCAAAAUGGAAAUCAUAUAUCAAGUCUCCAUCUCCANNNNNNNNNNNNNNNNNNNNNNNNNNNNNNNNNNNNNNNNNNNNNNNNNNNNNNNNNNNNNNNNNNNNNNNNNNNNNNNNNNNNNNNNNNNNNNNNNNNNNNNNNNNNNNNNNNNNNNNNNNNNNNNNNNNNNNNNNNNNNNNNNNNNNNNNNNNNNNNNNNNNNNNNNNNNNNNNNNNNNNNNNNNNNNNNNNNNNNNNNNNNNNNNNNNNNNUGACAUCUAUACGCAUAUGCAUGACGCUAAAAGUAAUUUAUGAUUUACAGAGUUAUCCAGACUUACACGUUGAGUCAAUUACUCUAUAUUUCUUCCAUGCCUGUUAUGUACUUAUUUAUGUGCCUUACAUACUCGGUACAGUUUUCGUACUGACGUUCCUUUUGCUUGGGGAUACUGCAUUUCAUGCCCGCAUGUCCAGAUAGACAGGUCGAGAGCCUCCCCUCCGCAAGUAGGCUAUCAGCUCAGCGGAAGAUGUUGGUGCGCUCUAUUUGCUUCGGAGUUGCGUGUUUGGUUAAUAUGAUUUAGACAUGUAUUGUUUGGUAUGACGGGGCUCUGUCCUGACCUUUAUGACAUUUAUAUACUCUUAGAGGCUUAUAGACAUAUGUCGUGUACGUGAAAGAUUGUACGCCUUUGUCGGCCUAUGUUUUGAGUUUAUAAAUGAUCAUGCUGGCCUAUUAGGCCCGUAUGUCACGUGUAUAUAAUGAUAUAAUAAGAAAUAUAUAUUACGUUGGUACUCGGUUGAGUAAGGUACCAGGUGCCCUUCGCGGCCCAUUGGUUUGGGUCAUGACAAAAGUGGUAUCAGAGCAGUUCUGUCCUAGGGAGUCUACAAGCCGUGUCUAGUAAAGUUUUGUUUAUGGGUGUGUCGUGAACCACACUUAUAAGUAGGAGACUACAUGGCAUUUAGGACUGUCACUCUUUCUUCUUACUCUAGAUUGUAUGGUACAGCUCAGUUGUAAGAAUUCAAAUUCCUAACGUCUAUUUUACUCGUAGUAAGACGAUACCUACACCCACAAAGACGGUUGGUAAAAGACAUGGCUAUGAAAGAGUUGAGUCAGAGGAACUCGACUUUGCAUCAUGCUUAUGAUGAGUAACUGUAAGGUCUUCAGCAGAUCAUGGGUGUACUGAAAGGUGUAAGCCUCUUGAUAAGGAACCUUAAGGAAAGAAUAUUUAUCCACCUUUAUGAUGAAAGACAACGCUUUCAAGAAGUAAAAGAAGCAAGGUGAAGAAGGGUACGAGGUGCCCAGUUAAUGAAGAUUAUCAGUAUUACAGUUCCGGCAGAAAAAUAUAAGCAUUAAGAGUUACCCUCAAUAUUAACAGAGGUAUAUACAAUUGGUCGCGCCCAUUCCAGAUAUGCCAUAUGGGGGUUAACAGAAGUAGUAUAAGAUGAUAUGAUGGAUGAAUUGUUCGCGUCAGGAGACAUUUUCGAAGGAUAUUGCAAAUGUGCUAAUAUAUCUCUUUGUGAGACACCCAGAUGGUGCACUCUAAAAUAGUACAGCUAGAUAUGAGUACUACAAAGAUAGGCACUAGAAGCCUUAAAGCGAUAAAUAUUACCUUAGUAUGGCUCCCAUCCCUAGUAGAACGAGAAUGCUGGGCAACCCGAAGAGCUAAUGGAUGGAGCAAGGGGAGCCAAAAACAAAAGAAUGUUUUGUUCAAGUUUUCAAAGUAAAGUAAUAGACCUGGAUAAUUAGUGGGAAAUAAGAAGAGAGUUAAUGAAGCAUUAUGAGUAAGACGUGAUACAUGGAUGACAACGGUAUAUCAAAGGAAUGACAAUAUUACAGAGUCUAUAGUCAAGUGAAGGGAAAUACGAGAGGUGAUAGGCCUUGAGAAAACAAAAGAGUAUAGGCCAUGAAGUCAUAUUCUCAUUUCAUCAAAUAAGCUUGUGGUUCCAAUACAACUACCAGAAGGAAAAGUUAGACCUCAGAGUAAUAGAACCAGUAUGGAUUGGUAAAUAAGAUAAAUUAAACAUGAAUUAGGGACUGAGUGAUUUGAUGAUGGUUGGUAUCACAAAAAUUUCAGAUUGCAUUAUGGCAAUAACAGAAUGGACGACGGAAGAAUAACCUUUAAAGGUCAUUCAGGAAGAUGUUUCCGUAAAUCAAGCAAUGUGAACAAAGUUAAGCUUAAGGGACCGUAUAUGCCAGUUAUACUAAGUGUCACCCUCGCGAGUAAGGAAAUUUGUUAUCCUUGGUACAGAAGGAUUAUCGCAAGGCAUGUAAGGGCCAUGAAAGAUGUGAAAGGACGCCAAAGAUGAAGAGUAAAAACAUCUAUAGGCAGAUUGUCAUAGCUCCAAGUCUUAGUGUACACCCCUAAAGGGGGGAAUAUGGAGUGAUGUGGCAUUAAGUCGGAAUUAAGUGGUUCUAGUGACUAUGGAAUGAUAAAGGAAGAAUGCGAUAAAUGAAAGAGGAAUGAGAUGGCACUUAUCCAAAUCCUACAGAUAUACUACGAUUCUAAAAUAUUAUGCAAACAUGACGUCAAGGAGAAGAAGUAGGGGUUCCUGCCCGAGAUAUUAUUGAUAAUUAAGGAGUCAGUGCAAGACGUAAGUUAAGACAAAGGAAAUAACCCAAGAAAGAUUACGAGGAAUAUUGAUAUGAGAAUGGACCAACGAGUAGUUCGUAAUUGGUUAGGAAGAUCCCAGUUAUGGCUAAACAGAAGGUUACAGACGAGUCAUCAGAUCGUGUGAGAUAAACAUAGUAGAACCCAACAUGAAGAGUUCAGCCUCGAAGAAUAUCAUUAUAAUACUUGAGAUAUAUUCAAACAAUAGUCGAGGUAGUUAAAGAUACCAUAUGAGUGUUACUAGGAUAAAAGAAAGUGUCAUUGGGAAGGAACUCAAAAUAUCAGUUCAGAAGCAACCAUACAAGCAUAAAGGCAUGGAAGUAAGCAACUACAGAUGAUUAUAAGCAAGUAAGGACAUCAAAAAGGUCCGUAAUAAGCUCAAAACUUUACGAGAGUCAAGGGUUCUCCAUAAGUACUACAACGAAAGACUCGUUGAAGAGAUAAGAAAGAAGUCUUCAACCUAAGCACAACGACAUAAAGAGAAAAUGGUCGUGUAAUAACAAUCUUGCAACAACAUUGUAAGCAUUCCAAAGGAAAGUGGCACUUACCGUGGCUAAUAAACGGGAAGUAAGAAUUAAAAGUAAUAUUCAACAUCAUAUGAGUUGUAUGAAAACUCUGGCAAGUGUGGGCACUAAGAUAAGCUAAUGGACUCAACAAGGGGGCAUAAAGAACAAGAAACAUAAUAGCUUACGUUGAAAGAAAGCUAAGAUGGAACGAAAUAAUUAUUUUAUCAAUGAUCCAAAGUUAGUACGUUAUGGAUACACUCAAGAUUUUGGAGCAUUAUCCAGGCAGCAUAUUUGUUGACAAUCAUACAGCCAUAGAAGACUCCGGUAUAAGUUAAAAGAAAGAAUUGAGCCCAAGGCAUAGAUAAAAGAUUGAAUUGUUAAAAGAUUGUAUCAUGGAUAAUCCAUAACACCCAUGAAAAGCUAAGGUGAUAACUGAUACCAUGAGCCACAGAUCGGAAGAUAGCUUAAGCCUACGUAAAGGCUGAUUAGAAGGAAGAGGAAACUAAAGAAUUACAUCACCCAAGUAAAUCAGGAGUCUAAUUAUUGGACCUAGAAAAAUAUAGAAGUGUAGCUUAGAGAACAUGACAUAAUCACUCUUAAUAUUAGACUGUUCAAGAGAAAUAACACAACAACCAUAAUCUAUAAUGGCUAUACAAGGAAGCCAGUUAGAAGAAGUACCGACCUCAUAAUAAGUCAGUACGAAGCUCCCACCGGAUUGUGUAUGUACCAGAGGUGCGAUUAUUAUAAUAGAGCUUCAAGUUAUGAACGUGAAUUACACCUAGGUGGAAGGGAGGCCAGGAAAGAGAUAAAAGAUACAAUGCGAGAUUUUAAGGUAAGUAAGGUAAAGGUGAACAACGUAUGAGAUACUCAAAGACAGAAGAUCAUGAAUAGUCCAUACUUCGGAUAGAAGGCUAUAAGCACAGGGAUCCAAUAACCGGGAAUGAUAGCGGCAUCUUCGGCGGCAUAUCUUCCAGCGUAUGGUUUCUAAGUACUGAGUGAUCUAGUUAAGAGAAUAUAGAAAAGUUGGAGACGAUGUGAUGUAUCGCUUGACAUUCCAGAAUAACAUAAGAAAAUCUAUGGUGCAAGCAAGUUGAAGGAAAGUUUAUAAAUGAAUAUAUAUAGGUCGCAAGCUAAAGUAUGGUAGAGCGAUAAAAUUUUAAGAAAAUAUGAGUAAGGAUGAGGAAAGGCAAGUGAAAAGGUGAUGAGAAUGGAUAAGUCUUUAGGAUUAAGCCCAUGAAAACAAGAAGGGCAAACAGUUUCUCUAUGUUAUACAAAGCUCACUAUAGCUUUAAUGAACUCAAAGGAGCCUAAGAUUAAUAGCAUUUAGAAAGAAUGAAAUGCUGACCUAGUAAUAAAAUGAGGGUAUAAUUGUGACAGAUACAUGAUGAUGUUUGGGCCUUCGUUUGAAUAAUGAUUUGAAAAAAAGAGAAGAAAAGGAGAAAAGAUUUCGCUGGCGGCACGAAAUUAACAUACCCCCAUAAGGUGAGUCACAUUGAGACACUAUGAAAUACGAUUAUGGGAAUCACUUCGAAUAUUCCUUGAGGUAACGUAAUCCCUAGGGGCAAAGUAUUAUGUAAGAAGUUUCAAGUUAUCAAUGGUAUAUUGUAGACCAAUAUUGAGGUGAAUCAACAAUAGAUGACAAAAGUCACAAAGUAUGAGAUGAGAUUGGGCCGUCAUUCUAAACAUGAGCAGUAAUGAGAAAGCAUUAAAGGACUUAAAUUUAUACAUAUGGAAUAAGAAAUGAGAGUAAGCUGGGAUUUGGUAGCAGACCUCAACAACAAUAAAUUAAAGUAAGAGUUAUGGCAGUAAAUUCAUACGGAUGGCUAAACGGACCCAUGCAAUGAGAUAUAACAAUAUUUGUGAAUUCAACAAAGUACCGAGUGAAAACUUCAGUAUACUCAUAGAUGCCCAAAGGGAAAUCUUAUCAAGCUCUACAUAUGGAACCUAGAGAUUGGGCACACUUACAAGGUCAAAAUUGUACAGGCUACAUGAGGAAAGGUAGCCAUAGUUACGAGAUUGGAAGGAUUCCAACUACAAGUUGUGGUGUGAGAAGGAGGCCUAAGGGGGAAUGCCUUGGACUUUGGACUUAUUCACAAAACAGUCACCUAGAUGGAAAGGGAAGUUAUAAAGUAUUCGGAAGAUAUAAGUUAUGAAAGUGAUAAGUGCAUUACUCAACAUUCGAGGACGAAUGUUCCAAAAGAGGGGAAUAAUGUUACGCCCCACAGUAUUACGUCGAUGUUGUGCUUUGUAGUAAUAUAUUACGAUGAUGUUACCCUCUGCAGUAAUAUAUUACGAUGAUGUUACGCCUUGCAGUAUUGCAUUACGAUGAUGGUACAUUUCGCAGUAUUAAGUUACGACAGUAUUUCACCCAGCAGUAUUACAUUACGGUGAUGUUACGCUUUGUAGUAAGAAGUUACGACAGUGUUGCACCCAUCAGUAUUACAUUACGGUGAUGUCACGCUUCGCAGUAUUAAGUUACGAUGAUGUUGCACCCUGAAGUAUUGUACGUUGAAUUUGUCGUAAGGUAAUUGACAUCAGUCUAAGUAAAAGAUUAUUUGGAGAUUAUAAGGAUUAUGUUAUUUCACAAGUGAUUAGUAAAGGUAAAAGGGGAAGCAAGUCAAAGAAAAUGAAUUUUUCGUCCAAGUUUGGCAUAUUGGGGUAAAAUAUGGCCCGAGCUAAAAUACCCAGUAUUUAUGAACUAGUGACAUACAAGGUACUGCAUGCCCAUGCUAGAAAGGUGUAUAAGGUAUGUGAAAAGUGAGUAAUAUUUUAAGUAAGUGGGAAUAAUUCUCAAUUUUUUUGGGUAAUUGGUUAAUUACCGGAUAACGGGAUAUUACCCGAUUAAUUAAUAAGUGGAUAAGAUUAAAUCUCUUUCCCCUCAACAAAAUGUGGCAGAAGGCCACUAUUUGAGAAAGUGACUCAUAUGGAUUUAUGGGUAGGUGGCUGCCAAAGACUUAAUUGAAUAUUAAAGAAAGCAAUACUUAGUAAUGUCUUGUUUACAUGUUCAUUUGGCAAAAAAUCAGAAUGUACCUUAAAUUCAAAAUGGAAAUCAUAUAUCAAGUCUCCAUCUCCAUUUGAAAAGGAGUAACGUAGCAAUUUCUUAAAAAUCAAGAAAAAUUUUCUUUCUUGAUUCAAAUACUGUAACGCCAAGAGCAGAAGCUUCAACCAAAAUUCAAAAACAUUGGAAACAAGUUUUAGCUAAAAAUUCAUUCUUUAGUUCACAAACUUUAGAAGCAGAAAGCAAGUUCAUGGAAAUCCAAGUGUAAUUUCGUUCAUAUUUCGCAUAAGCAGAUUCGUUCAAAUAAUUCAAGAAACAGGUAUGUUAAGGUUAUCCCUUCUUUCUUUUGGCAUGAUCCGUACGAUAUGAACGAAACGUGCAAAUGCACAAAUUUCAUGAAUGAAUCUAUUCAUAGAAGUAUUAGAGAUAUCUAUGUUCUUGCAUUUCUAUGUGUCAUAAUAUUUUAUCAUCCGUUCAUGGGUCUCAGAAAAAUACAAAAGUUGAAAAGAGUUUACUUUAUGAUAUUACUCAAAGGCAAAAUGGUCUUAUGACAUUCCGAAAGAUUUUAUUAACGUACUUUUCAUGCAUUGCAUUCAUGUACAUUGACCCAUGACCAAAUGACGUUAUAUACGCGUAUAUAUGUAUGUAUAUAUAUGUAUAUGGGAUAUGGGAAAGGUUAUGGCGUUAUAUACGCACCACCACUUGAUUAACUGGUAUACGUUGCUGAUUUUGCCUAUAAUGGCCGAUAUGAUAUGAUGGGAUGCCCCCAGAGGCUGAUGAUGUUAUGAAAUAUGUACCUAUGCACGACAUGACAUUCAUACGUAUAUGCAUGAUGCUAAAAGUAAUUUAUGAUUUACAGAGUUAUCCAGACUUACAAGUUGAGUCAAUUACUUUAUAUUUCUUCCAUGCCUGUUAUGUACUUAUUUAUGUGCCUUACAUACUCGGUAUAUUUUUCGUACUGACGUCUCUUUUGCCUGGGGACGCUGCGUUUCAUGCUCGUAGGUCCAGAUUGAUAGGUCGAGAGCCCCCUCAAGUAGGCUAUCAGCUCAGCGGAAGAUGUUGGUGCGCUCCAUUUGUUUUGGAGUUACGUGUUUGGUUAGUAUGUUUUAGACGUGUAUUGUUUGGUAUGGCGAGAUUCUGUCCCGAACUUUAUGACAUUUUUGUACUCUUAGAGGCUUGUAAAUAUAUGUCGUGCACGUGAAAGAUUGUACGGCCUUGUCGGCCUAUAUUUUGAGUUUAUAAAUGAUCAUGUUGGCCUAUUAGGCCUGUAUAUCACGUGUAUAUGAUGAUGUAAUAAUAAAGAUACGUUAUAUUGGUACUCGGUUGAGUAAGGUACCGGGUGCCCGUCGUGGCCCAUCGGUUUGGGUCGUGACACCUAGUGUUUGAUAAAAUGCUCAAAUGAGUUGAAACCAUGAAUAUCUUCCUAAUUUGUGUUCAAUUUUGUUGUGUCUCAAAAUAGAUUGACAUUGCCAGAAUUUUUAAAAUGUUGUCGUAAUUUAAGGAAAGCUCAAAGCGAGGUAUGUUGGCUAAACUACUCUCUUAGAAUUGAAUUCCAUGAUGUUCCCGUAAGUUUCAAGUAUGGUUGUCUCAAGUUCCUUAUUCUAUGUUCCGAGUUGUUCCCAAUAAAUUCGAUUGUCCCGAAUAGGCAAAGUGUGGAGAAUUAUGUAUUCAAACAUGUUCCGUAUGUUCCUAUCACAUUAUGUUAUCCUUUGGGAAUGUGUUCAAGAAUGAUAUGUGUAUUAAAAUGCUAUGUCUUUGAGCCGUGUUUCAAAUGAAGAUUAUGAUGCCAAAUUGUAUGAGAAAAUCUCAAUAUACUUAAGACUCUUAAUUAUUCAUAUGUGUACCUGAAGUCUUGAUUGGAAAUGUAUUGUUGUUGAUAAUUUAUAAAGAUGCUUGAAAAUGAAGUAAGUGAAUUGGGGAUAAAAAGUGUGGCCAACGUGCCAAGAAUGAAAGUUAUACUUGUGACUAUUGGUGCCAAUAGAAUGAGAUGAUGUGAGAAAGAUUAUGAUAUGAGCUUUGAUUCAAUUGUUCCAAGUUGACUUUGAAAAUAGAAUUGCCUAAAAGCUUAUGUACUUAAAUGAUGCCCAUAUGUGGCUGUUUAAACUAAUGCUAUGCUUUGUAGGUAUUUUUGACGUGUUUUGUGCUCUUACAUAUUCGUGAGUUGAAAUUGUGUAUUGCCAUUUUUGGUGAAAAGUAUUUCAAGAAUAAAGUAUGUGUUACUUGUUUAUGAUUUUAACUUGUGCUUCGAUUGCCAAUCAUUUUACGCAAUUUCUUGGAAAGAAAUCCAUUGUGUUUAAAGCCUUUAUUACUAAUUAACCUAAAGUUAUGAUUUCGGAAAUAUUCUAUUCGUUGAUAUUAUGAUGAUGAUCCAUGAAAAGGAAGAAAUAAAAGUGUGGAAUAUGAAAUAUAGCCAUUGUGCUAUGAAUGAAGAAUUAUAUGUAUGACCAAGAGAGCCAAUGAAAUAAUGAUGUUGAAAGUGCCAAUGAGGCUAUAUACAGUAUGAAAGGUUAUGAGGUAAAUGCAUUUGUAUUUUUGUUUCCUUUGUAAGCAAAUAAAAAAUAUUUUUGGGAGUAUCGAUAGUUGUCGAGGAAGAGUAGGUUGAAAUAACCUAACCCCGAAACUACACAUGUCGGUGUAGGAGUGGAUUGUAAUUAUUCCCCCUUAUUUGGAAUGAGAUUGCUGUGAUAAAAUUAUUCCCCUUAAUUGGGAUGAGAUGAUUGAUAGAAAAGGAUGAUGUCGAUCCAUAUGGCGUUGUGGUGAGACGGCCUAGCAAAUCGGGUCGUGAUCGGAUUCCGUGCUAAAAGUACGGUGGUAUUGGUAUUUUGAACGGUGGUAUAUCGGUGCUAAAGAUAUCUCAACCAAAAAAAUAAUAUUAUCUUCAUAUUUUGGAAAUUAUUAUGUUUUAACUUGGAAAUUGGAUAUCAUUGAUUGUUGAUUGUUGUUUCCAUGAUUUUCCCUUUAUGUUGACAUUCUAUUUUGAAAGAGGACAUUUAGCUUUACAUACAAAUACUAUUCCAUAUGUACUAACGUCCCUUUUUUGUCGGGGGCAUUGCAUCUUCAAUGAAUGCAGGUGGUUCCACAACAGACAGCAUUGAUCAGUGAUAGUGGUACACUCUCUUCAGCUAACUUGGUUAGCCCCACUUCAUUUUGGGGUCAUAUAUCUCUUGUUUCUCAUGUAUUUUGUGUUUUGAGGUAUAGUCGGGGCAUUGUUGUCGGCAUUUCUAUAUUACUCUUCAGUUGUACUUAGAGGCUCUGUAGAUAGGUUGUGGGUGAUUUUUGAUAUUGGGAAUUGAAUUAGAAAUGUUAGUAUUUGGCAAACAUGUUUUUCUCAUUAAAUCUAUAAAGUCGUACUAUUUUGGAAAUAUUGAAUGAUGCUGUUAUUGGGAAUGAAAUGGAAAUGGUUAAUGAAAUCUUUAAUGGAGUACAUCUCCUCUUUAUUCAGGGAUGAAUUUGAGUAGAAUGAAAUCUAACAGGCUUGCUCAGCCGAGUUUACUCGGUUGAACGUCGGUUGCGCUCCACGAGUUUGGGGCAUGACAGUUUGAUAUCUUUUAUCCAUAGACGACUAUUACUACCUAGAGUUUGACUGCAUUCUUGGAUUCGAUCUUAUUUCAUCUUGUUGUUAUUCCUACUUGUUGCAAUUACCUUUUCUUUUCAGUCGUUCUCUAGCCGAUGUUCUAUUGAAAAUAGCCUCUUUGCCCUUCCAAAGGUAGGGGUAAGGCCGCGUACAUCUUACCCUCCGGCGAACUUUCUUCUCUUUUUUGCUAUUUAGUCACAUACAAUGAUACAAAUAUAUUGUAUUCAGUACAAAUACACUCAAAUACAUUAUAUUUUUGUAUAAAUAUAUUAAUUUUUGCUUGUAUUUAUGUAUUCCAAAGGCCUGUAUUUUUUUAAUAAAGCCGAAUAUCACUAUGUUUUGUGAUUUUUUGUUGUUUUGAAUAGAGUCGAAUUGAAUACAGAGAAUUGAAUACAAUGUAUAUUAGUGAAUAUAUGUGAUUUGAAUAUAAUGUAUACAGUCGAAUUGAAUAGAACGAUAUACACUCUAUUUUCUUGAUUUUUUGUUGUUUGAAUACAACUGAAUUCAAUAUAGUGAAAUUGAAUACAAUUCAAUAUUGCGCUUUCUGUUAUUAAACACUCGCAAUCACUAUUUUUAGGCAGAUUAUCUCACUGUAUUUAUAAAUACAUUUGCGCGAAUACAUGAAAUACAUAAUUAGACAUCUGUAAUCCAUGUUUCUUACUUUAUUGUAUUUAUAAAUACAGUCGCGCGAAUACAUGGAAUACAAUGCAAUAGCAGUGAAAUUUAUGUAGAAUUGAUUUUGUUGAGUUAAAUUAGGAGUGAUACACGCUAAUUGAUCCUUUUUUCAUUAUUAAACAGCUGGAUCCUCCUAUUUUUAGGAUAAUUCCGCAACUUGUAUUCAUGAAUACAGUAGCGCGAGUAUAGCGAAUACAGUCGUGUACAAAUGUAUUCCCUUAUUUUUAGGCAAUUUUUGCUACUUUAUUCAUGAAUACAUUAGCGCGAAUAUAUCGAAUACAUUCGCGUAAUAACUGAAUAGUAGCUAUAAGAAAUAAUUAUGUAUAUCGUAGCUAUAGGAAGUUAAUAACCACUAAACAAUAGUGGUUUUUGAGAAUUCUUCUUCAUAAGUAGUAUUAAUUUUUCAUAUUAUGUACCUAAAUAUAAUUGUAGUUAUCCAUACUCAAGUGACAACUUUGAUGCUCUAGUGACUAAGUACCCCUUUAGGUCAGGGGUUCGAUCCCCAUAUAGUUCUUUUUAAUUAAUACAUUUUAUAUAUAAUAAACAAACAAAAUCCUAAUUUUUCAUCCCCUUUUUAUUUAAUAUAAUAGUAUAUUCAUAUUCUUAAAAUUCUAGUUACGCCUCUCCAACCGAUAUCACUAUAGAAUUCGUUGUUACCUAUGGAUUGCAAAACUAACUUAUUGGCGAAUCGUGUGUCAAUUUGUUUUUAAGUUGCUAUAUUUGUAUCAAUUUUUCACACAAACAUAAAUCAAAAGAUUUAUCAAGAUAAACUUUGCAUGAGAGGUAGGCAGGGGUGGAUGUAGUAUUGAGAUAACGGAUUCAAUUGAACCCAUAACUUUUAACGAAGAGUAUAAAAUUUAAGUGUAAAAGUUCACUAAAAUUGUAAAAGUUUAAAUGCUUGAUCCGCCUAUGAAACUAGGUCCAAUGAAUCGGGCUGGACUAAAUUUUUUCCACUAUAUCUAGAAUUGAAGCUUUCAACAUGACAACCUAUUGGGUCUAAUAUCCAAGAUAUAAUUCUCUAAUACGAAAUACAGAAACAACAUGGACUAAAUUAUAAUAACAACAAAUAUUUGGGACCCUUUAAUAUGAAAAUGUUUGUUGAAAAAGGAAGGGGAAUUUUCUGCGAAUUCUCGGACUAAGUUGUAAAAACUACAACAAACGGGGACGAUAACGUGAAAAUACAUGUUGGAAAAAAAAAAGGGAAUUUCAGCGGCUUCUCGAUUCUUCCAAGUCUUCUCCUUUCCACUUAUAAAUAAUCAGGGGAUCCCACGCCAUAUUUGCUGUCAAAAAACUUGUGUCCAAAUUUCUACGUAACCUUAAGCUGACCCCAUCUCCACCUUCAAUCUGGUAAGCUUUCUUUUUCUCAGAAAGCCUGGGUUUUGAUUUUUUGUUUUUUUUAAAUGAUUCGAUCUUUCUUUUAAUAAUUUUGCAUGUGUUUAUGUUUUGUUUCCAGGUUCUUGUUCAGAGCAAUUUAUUGUUAGAUCUUUGUUUGGCUGUUCCAGAAUCGAGAAUGAGUCAUAUCCUUACGAUAUGUUCCUUUUCUCUGAUUUAAGAUCACGCUAAUAUCGAUCCAAUUCUUUGUUUUGAUGAACAAGAUUCUCUUAUCUUCUACUCCCUCUCCCUCUGUUCCAGUUUAUGUGAACCUAUUUCCUUUUUGGUCCGUUCCAAAAAGAAUGAACCCUUUCUAAAUUUGGUAACAAUUUAGCUUAAAGUUGCGUAACUUUAAGCUUUUAUAACCACACAAAUACUCCAUUUGGACUUGUUUAGAAUCACAAGUUCCAAACGGAGGGAGUAUUCGAUUGCCGAGAAAUUGAGAAAAAAUAUCCAAAAUUAAAGAUUUUUUAUUUAAUUUUGUUGGGGUAAUCUAUUAAAUUGGGAAUCCCCUUUCGAGAUAUAUCCUCAAUUGGCUCGGUAUCCAAAGAAUUGGUUUAGUUAGGACCUAAAGAUUGAAUUUUUGUGGCUCAAAGAAUGGCAUUUUUGUUUCUGAUUGUUGUCUGUUUUUGACUUAACUCAAGCUAACGCGGAAAUCAGAGAGAUAGAGAUCGUGAAAGGGCACAAGCCAGGGCAGGUAGCAAACCCAAACAGCCCAAAGGUGAUGGAUUGACCCCUGAACAAAGACGAGAAAGGUUCUUUCUUUCCUCCUAAACAACCCUCAAUUUCAUUGUGUUUAGUACGACGGAAGUUAAUGAAGUUAUUUUUCGUGAAAAUGCUUUUCCACGAUAUGUUUUUUUUUUUAAAUAAAAUUAUUUUUCAACGUUUAAUUGAGAGCUCAAAGAAAACUUACGUGGUAAAUAUUAAAAAUUAAUCCUAAUAUAAUGUUUUGAUGAAACUAUUAGAAUUUAUAGUCUUUAAAAAUGAUUUUCCGCCAUAUAUGAGACCAGUUUUUCUCCUUCUGAAUGAAAAAUAUUUUGUAGAAAGUAAACUUCGUCGAAUAUAUUGAAAAAUAAUUCCGUCCUACCAGACAAACUCUAGCUGUUUUUAUCCAUUGAAGCUAACGUGGGGUAUUCUUGUUUAUGAUUUGAACAGAGACGCAAAGGCACUUCAAGAAAAAGCAGCAAGGAAAGCGGCGCAGGCUGCUGGUGGUGGAAAUAACCAAUCUGAUAGUAAACUAAUUAAGAAGAAAUAGUAGAAUUUAGCAAGGAAAGUUGUGUUGUUGAUACAGGAGUAGGUAUAAGGGAAUCUUGUGGAUGAAUCAGGCGUGGUUUCUGGAUAUUGGAGGUCAUUGUUGUUCAUGUCACAGCAAAGUGUUUGAAAUAUUUGCUUCCAUUUGUUCAUGUCAUUUGUCAAGUAUUUGGAAUAUUCUACUUUAGUUUUGGCAUGUAUGGUCCUUAACUGUUUGUAUCUGAUUUGCAAUGAAAUUUCCUAUUGUGAUUAACUUACGCUAAGUGGUAACUACUGAUAUUAGUUUAGUUACUUAAAUUUGGAUGUUCCGUUAAAUGCUAGUGUUUCUCUUGUGGUAGUCAUAUAGUUUAUCACAUUUACACCAAGUUGAGAACAGGAUAGAAUUUGAACUUUGAAGAUUCCAGCUGUUGCUGAGGAUAUCAUAUGUAAAAGUUAAUAAUAAAGGAUUGAAAUUUUUCUCUUAUGUAAUAGUCUCUGUGAACUCACCUUUAUUGCUCCUCAAUAAUCACAAACAAAAAUUUAGGUAAUUUUUGUAAUUCUUAUCUUCUUUUUUUUAAUACAAAUCAG